UACGUAGGGGGCAAGCGUUGUCCGGAAUUAUUGGGCGUAAAGAGCGCGUAGGCGGUCCGGUAAGUCGGCUGUGAAAGUCAAGGGCUCAACCCUUGAAAGCCGGCCGAUACUGUCGGACUAGAGUCCGGAAGAGGCGAGUGGAAUUCCCGGUGUAGGGGGUGAAAGUGACGCAGAUAUCGGGAGGAACACCGGAUGGCGAAAGGCGGCAGCACGC
rnacentral:rRNA from 1 species